rnacentral:rRNA from 1 species
GGAUGAACGCUGGCGGCGUGCCUAAUACAUGCAAGUCGAGCGAACAGACGAGGAGCUUGCUCCUCUGACGUUAGCGGCGGACGGGUGAGUAACACGUGGAUAACCUACCUAUAAGACUGGGAUAACUUCGGGAAACCGGAGCUAAUACCGGAUAAUAUAUUGAACCGCAUGGUUCAAUAGUGAAAGACGGUUUUGCUGUCACUUAUAGAUGGAUCCGCGCCGCAUUAGCUAGUUGGUAAGGUAACGGCUUACCAAGGCAACGAUGCGUAGCCGACCUGAGAGGGUGAUCGGCCACACUGGAACUGAGACACGGUCCAGACUCCUACGGGAGGCAGCAGUAGGGAAUCUUCCGCAAUGGGCGAAAGCCUGACGGAGCAACGCCGCGUGAGUGAUGAAGGUCUUCGGAUCGUAAAACUCUGUUAUUAGGGAAGAACAAAUGUGUAAGUAACUAUGCACGUCUUGACGGUACCUAAUCAGAAAGCCACGGCUAACUACGUGCCAGCAGCCGCGGUAAUACGUAGGUGGCAAGCGUUAUCCGGAAUUAUUGGGCGUAAAGCGCGCGUAGGCGGUUUUUUAAGUCUGAUGUGAAAGCCCACGGCUCAACCGUGGAGGGUCAUUGGAAACUGGAAAACUUGAGUGCAGAAGAGGAAAGUGGAAUUCCAUGUGUAGCGGUGAAAUGCGCAGAGAUAUGGAGGAACACCAGUGGCGAAGGCGACUUUCUGGUCUGUAACUGACGCUGAUGUGCGAAAGCGUGGGGAUCAAACAGGAUUAGAUACCCUGGUAGUCCACGCCGUAAACGAUGAGUGCUAAGUGUUAGGGGGUUUCCGCCCCUUAGUGCUGCAGCUAACGCAUUAAGCACUCCGCCUGGGGAGUACGACCGCAAGGUUGAAACUCAAAGGAAUUGACGGGGACCCGCACAAG